GACGAACGCUGGCGGCGUGCCUAACACAUGCAAGUCGAGCGGGGAUUGUGGAGAGCUUGCUCAAAGCAAUUCCAGCGGCGGACGGGUGAGUAACGCGUGAGCAACCUGCCUCAAACAGGGGGAUAACGCAUCGAAAGAUGUGCUAAUACCGCGUAAGACCACAGCAUCACAUGGUGCAGGGGUCAAGGGAGCAAUCCGGUUUGAGAUGGGCUCGCGUCCGAUUAGCUAGUUGGUGAGACAACAGCCCACCAAGGCGACGAUCGGUAGCCGACCUGGAGGGGUGAUCGGGCCACAUUGGAACUGAGAUACGGUCCAGACUCC
rnacentral:rRNA from 1 species